UACAUGGGGUGCAAACGUUGCUCGGAAUUAUUGGGCGUAAAGCGCACGUAGGCGGUUCGUUAAGUCGGAUGUGAAAGCCCUCGGCUCAACUGAGGAAGUGCACCCGAAACUGGCGAGCUUGAGUACGAAAGAGGAUCGCGGAAUUCCCGGUGUAGAGGUGAAAUUCGUAGAUAUCAGGAGGAACACCGGUGGCGAAGGCGGAUCUCUGGGCCGAUACUGACGCUGAGGAGCGAAAGCGUGGGGAGCGAACAGG
rnacentral:rRNA from 1 species